rnacentral:rRNA from 1 species
UUAAGCGACUAAGCGUACACGGUGGAUGCCCUGGCAGUCAGAGGCGAUGAAGGACGUGCUAAUCUGCGAUAAGCGUCGGUAAGGUGAUAUGAACCGUUAUAACCGGCGAUUUCCGAAUGGGGAAACCCAGUGUGAUUCGUCACACUAUCAUUAACUGAAUCCAUAGGUUAAUGAGGCGAACCGGGGGAACUGAAACAUCUAAGUACCCCGAGGAAAAGAAAUCAACCGAGAUUCCCCCAGUAGCGGCGAGCGAACGGGGAGCAGCCCAGAGCCUGAAUCAGUGUGUGUGUUAGUGGAAGCGUCUGGAAAGGCGCGCGAUACAGGGUGACAGCCCCGUACACAAAAAUGCACAUNNNNNNNNNNNNNNNNNNNNCUGUGAGCUCGAUGAGUAGGGCGGGACACGUGGUAUCCUGUCUGAAUAUGGGGGGACCAUCCUCCAAGGCUAAAUACUCCUGACUGACCGAUAGUGAACCAGUACCGUGAGGGAAAGGCGAAAAGAACCCCGGCGAGGGGAGUGAAAAAGAACCUGAAACCGUGUACGUACAAGCAGUGGGAGCACAGAGCAAUCUGUGUGACUGCGUACCUUUUGUAUAAUGGGUCAGCGACUUAUAUUCUGUAGCAAGGUUAACCGAAUAGGGGAGCCGAAGGGAAACCGAGUCUUAACUGGGCGUUAAGUUGCAGGGUAUAGACCCGAAACCCGGUGAUCUAGCCAUGGGCAGGUUGAAGGUUGGGUAACACUAACUGGAGGACCGAACCGACUAAUGUUGAAAAAUUAGCGGAUGACUUGUGGCUGGGGGUGAAAGGCCAAUCAAACCGGGAGAUAGCUGGUUCUCCCCGAAAGCUAUUUAGGUAGCGCCUCGUGAAUUCAUCUCCGGGGGUAGAGCACUGUUUCGGCAAGGGGGUCAUCCCGACUUACCAACCCGAUGCAAACUGCGAAUACCGGAGAAUGUUAUCACGGGAGACACACGGCGGGUGCUAACGUCCGUCGUGAAGAGGGAAACAACCCAGACCGCCAGCUAAGGUCCCAAAGUCAUGGUUAAGUGGGAAACGAUGUGGGAAGGCCCAGACAGCCAGGAUGUUGGCUUAGAAGCAGCCAUCAUUUAAAGAAAGCGUAAUAGCUCACUGGUCGAGUCGGCCUGCGCGGAAGAUGUAACGGGGCUAAACCAUGCACCGAAGCUGCGGCAGCGACGCUUAUGCGUUGUUGGGUAGGGGAGCGUUCUGUAAGCCUGCGAAGGUGUGCUGUGAGGCAUGCUGGAGGUAUCAGAAGUGCGAAUGCUGACAUAAGUAACGAUAAAGCGGGUGAAAAGCCCGCUCGCCGGAAGACCAAGGGUUCCUGUCCAACGUUAAUCGGGGCAGGGUGAGUCGACCCCUAAGGCGAGGCCGAAAGGCGUAGUCGAUGGGAAACAGGUUAAUAUUCCUGUACUUGGUGUUACUGCGAAGGGGGGACGGAGAAGGCUAUGUUGGCCGGGCGACGGUUGUCCCGGUUUAAGCGUGUAGGCUGGUUUUCCAGGCAAAUCCGGAAAAUCAAGGCUGAGGCGUGAUGACGAGGCACUACGGUGCUGAAGCAACAAAUGCCCUGCUUCCAGGAAAAGCCUCUAAGCAUCAGGUAACAUCAAAUCGUACCCCAAACCGACACAGGUGGUCAGGUAGAGAAUACCAAGGCGCUUGAGAGAACUCGGGUGAAGGAACUAGGCAAAAUGGUGCCGUAACUUCGGGAGAAGGCACGCUGAUAUGUAGGUGAAGUCCCUCGCGGAUGGAGCUGAAAUCAGUCGAAGAUACCAGCUGGCUGCAACUGUUUAUUAAAAACACAGCACUGUGCAAACACGAAAGUGGACGUAUACGGUGUGACGCCUGCCCGGUGCCGGAAGGUUAAUUGAUGGGGUCAGCGCAAGCGAAGCUCUUGAUCGAAGCCCCGGUAAACGGCGGCCGUAACUAUAACGGUCCUAAGGUAGCGAAAUUCCUUGUCGGGUAAGUUCCGACCUGCACGAAUGGCGUAAUGAUGGCCAGGCUGUCUCCACCCGAGACUCAGUGAAAUUGAACUCGCUGUGAAGAUGCAGUGUACCCGCGGCAAGACGGAAAGACCCCGUGAACCUUUACUAUAGCUUGACACUGAACAUUGAGCCUUGAUGUGUAGGAUAGGUGGGAGGCUUUGAAGUGUGGACGCCAGUCUGCAUGGAGCCGACCUUGAAAUACCACCCUUUAAUGUUUGAUGUUCUAACGUUGACCCGUAAUCCGGGUUGCGGACAGUGUCUGGUGGGUAGUUUGACUGGGGCGGUCUCCUCCUAAAGAGUAACGGAGGAGCACGAAGGUUGGCUAAUCCUGGUCGGACAUCAGGAGGUUAGUGCAAUGGCAUAAGCCAGCUUGACUGCGAGCGUGACGGCGCGAGCAGGUGCGAAAGCAGGUCAUAGUGAUCCGGUGGUUCUGAAUGGAAGGGCCAUCGCUCAACGGAUAAAAGGUACUCCGGGGAUAACAGGCUGAUACCGCCCAAGAGUUCAUAUCGACGGCGGUGUUUGGCACCUCGAUGUCGGCUCAUCACAUCCUGGGGCUGAAGUAGGUCCCAAGGGUAUGGCUGUUCGCCAUUUAAAGUGGUACGCGAGCUGGGUUUAGAACGUCGUGAGACAGUUCGGUCCCUAUCUGCCGUGGGCGCUGGAGAACUGAGGGGGGCUGCUCCUAGUACGAGAGGACCGGAGUGGACGCAUCACUGGUGUUCGGGUUGUCAUGCCAAUGGCACUGCCCGGUAGCUAAAUGCGGAAGAGAUAAGUGCUGAAAGCAUCUAAGCACGAAACUUGCCCCGAGAUGAGUUCUCCCUGACUCCUUGAGAGUCCUGAAGGAACGUUGAAGACGACGACGUUGAUAGGCCGGGUGUGUAAGCGCAGCGAUGCGUUGAGCUAACCGGUACUAAUGAACCGUGAGGCUUAACCUU